rnacentral:tRNA from 1 species
AAUGAAGUGCCUGAAAAAGGAUUAUCUUGAUAGGAUAAAUUAUAUAGGACCCGCCCUAUCUUCAUUG